GACGAACCGUGCAAACGUUAUUCGGAAUCACUGGGCUUAAAGCGCGUGUAGGCGGAUGGGAACGUCGGACCUUGAAAGCCCCCGGCUCAACCGGGGAAGAGGGGCCGAAACGACCCGUCUGGAGGGACGUAGGGGGAUCUGGAACUUCCGGUGGAGCGGUGAAAUGCGUUGAGAUCGGAAGGAACGCCCGUGGCGAAAGCGAGAUCCUGGACGUUUACUGACGCUGAGACGCGAAAGCUAGGGGAGCGAACGGG
rnacentral:rRNA from 1 species